GACGAACGCUGGCGGCGUGCCUAAUACAUGCAAGUAGAACGCAGUUGCGAACGGGUGAGUAACGCGUAGGUAACUGCCUCAUAGCGGGGGAUAACUAUUGGAAACGAUAGCUCAUACCGCAUACUGUGAGAUUGACCUGCGUUGUAUUAGCUAGUUGGUGGGGUAAAGGCUCAACAAGGCGCCGAUACAUAGCCGACCUGAGAGGGUGAUCGGCCACACUGGGACUGAGACACGGCCCAGACUCCUACGGGAGGCAGCAGUAGGGAAUCUUCGGCAAUGGGCGGAAGUCUGACCGAGCAACGCAGCGUGAGUGAAGAAGGUUUUCGGAUCGUAAAGCUCUGUUGUGAGAGAAGCGGUAAGGAACCAGAAAGGGACGGCUAACUACGUGCCAGCAGCAGCGGUAAUUC
rnacentral:rRNA from 1 species